rnacentral:lncRNA from 1 species
GAGUAUAAUUAGCCAUCUCCAAGAUAGAGAUUUUGUCAAGCUCACCUAGGACCUGAUCAUGUAGUCAUAUAUCCUAUUUCUGAUGCCCUUUGUAUAGGUUCUUUCACAUGACGCAUGGUCCAUUUCGUAGGUAACCUGUCAUCAGCCGUAGACAAAGGAUCUGCCAACAGUACCUUUUCUAAAAUGCGGAAACAAUAGACUUCACUUGUUUUUUAUUUGACCAUGUGGGUCAGAGGCAAGGUUUUUGCUGUGUGAUUGUACACCCAUCUGCAGGUCGUCGGCAGCUCAUCCCUGUUAACAGAUCAUGGGGUUUGCAUGACCAGAAGUGGUUUAACAGAUUGUGCUUUUGAAAGAAGUGGUUUAAAGACCAUACGUGUUCCAUUUCUCUACUUUUAUUGUGUUUCCUUUUUGUUGUUGUUACAGUAUUGAUUUCUUUAAAGUACUGUAACAUCAUUUUUUUAAAAAAAAUCCACUUACCCGUGAUUGUUUACUUUUCCUUUUUAACUUUUUUAAAUUUUGAAACUGCAUUUCUUAAUUAGGACGGAGGUCAUGAAUUACGUGAUUGCACAAGAUUUGCCAGAGGGAGGACAGUGAUGUGGGGAAAACUGGGAGGAGUCGCCCAAUUACCAUGUCAUAAGUCAAAGGUUCGUUAUUUUAUUAGAUAAGGAACGGGGAGAUCCCGGUGUGCUGGGGUGGGUAUGUAUCAAGUCCUUAUUGAACUUUCCAAAACCAUGGGUUGCCUACUUAAAAGGCAUUUUCUCCAAGAUGUGUGAUAAGACCCCUAGACUGAAUCACAAUGGCAAGCUGUCUGAUUUUGUUUUCCACAGUCUGGCGCUCUACAAAAGUUUGGAACUCCAGCCCCUAUCAUCCUUGACUAUUCUCCACUCUGGCUGUGAUCCGGUGGCCUAGGGGAUAAAAGCCUCGUGACUUGAAGGUUGGGUUGCUGACCUGAAAGCUGCCAGGUUCGAAUCCCCCCGGGGAGAGUGCAGAUGAGCUCCCUCUAUCAGCUCCAGCUCCAUGCGGGGACAUGAGAGAAGCCUCCCACAAGGAUGGUAAAACAUAAAAAAUAUCCGGGCGUCCCCUGGGCAACAUCCUUGCAGACGGCAAUUCUCUCACUCCAGAAGCAACUCCAGUUGCUCCUGACAUGAGAAAGAAAAAAAACCAAGAUACAUACGAUAGAAUAAACUUCAGAUAUACAGCAAUUGUUAAAUAUUUUAAUUUUUAAAAAAUAAUCUCAUGCUUACACAAGGUCCACACUUUUCCACAAUGGACCAAUCCUUCAGUUCAUUUUGAAAACUCUUUAUUAUCAAACUCCAAUAUAUGGUACAGUUCAGGGUUGGGUUCUGAAAAGUCUGACCAGGCAAAAGCUUCUGAAAUUCUUUUUGAUUUCUGCAUUAUUCAGGUUGAGUUCAAUCAUCGAUAUCCCAAACUCACACUCCAAAUGAGUUUCUUGUAUCUCAUUGCCAAUUCAUAAAUGAGAAAUGUUUAUGUUUGUGGAGAAGACAACCAGUUGUCCUCCAGAUAUUUUUGGACUCCCUAUAGAUCAGACAGCAUGGCCAGUGGUUAGGGGUGAUGGGACCUUUGGUCUAAGAAUAAUGGGACAUCCUCCUGUUCCCCCUCUCUAAACUAGAUGCAAAGUAUAUGUACAGGAACAGACAAAAGAGCCCCAUGCAGCUUAUAAGAGCCCAACGCAACCUUGUGCCUUGAAAUCCCAUUGUAUCUUGAAUAGUUUCUAUUGUCUUUUCAUUUCCACUUCCAUAACAUCUCUCCUUUCUGUGUUGAGUCUGUGGAG